GCGCGAAAACUUUACAAUGCUGGCAACAGCGAUAAGGGAACCUCGCGUGCCAGGUUACAAAUCUGGCUGUCGAGAUGCCUAAAAAGCAUUUCAUAGCAAGGGCCGGGCAAGACCGGUGCCAGCCGCCGCGGUAACACCGGCGGCUCGAGUGGUAACCGUUAUUAUUGGGUCUAAAGGGUCUGUAGCCGGCCGGAUAAGUCUCUUGAGAAAUCUAGCAGCUUAACUGUCAGGCUUUUAGGAGAUACUGUCUGGCUCGAGGCCGGGAGAGGUGAGAGGUACUUAAGGGGUAGGGGUGAAAUCUUGUAAUCCUUGAAGGACCACCAGUGGCGAAGGCGUCUCACCAGAACGGACCUGACGGCAAGGGACGAAAGCUAGGGGCACGAACCG
rnacentral:rRNA from 1 species